GCACAGAAAAGCCCCACUUCUCCUCCGCGUCUGGGUGCCGGGCCGUGCCGCGCCCUCCCCCGUGGAACCGAGAUUUAUAAAGCGGUAACCCGCCAGCGCCGGAGCAGCCUCUGCUUAAUCCCGAAGCCAGGCCGGCGUCCUGCGCCGCGGAGGGGAGAGCGGUCGGCAGGAGCCGGGCGGAGGCGCGGGACGCGCAGCAGGCAGCGGGGAGCUCUUCCCGGGAAAGGCCAGCACCUCAGGGGGCGCUUUCUCCCCGUUUCCCCUCAGUCAAACACGCACCAGCAACUUAGAAUUCGAGGCACUGCAGAGCUGGAAGGGGCCUCAGCGCUGCUCCCUCCGCCCCCUCGUUUCACAAACCAGAAAGCUGAGAUCCAAAGCAAGGAAGGGACUUGGCCAAGUUCAAAUUUUCGAGUGGCCAGCUCCUCCUAAUCCACACUGGUGCAGCCCUGUGAUUGAAAUUCAGCUGCAUAGCUCUUGCUGGGAAAUGCGGUGACGGAGCAGUGCAGGCGGCAGCUGCCUCCCACACCUAAGACAGGAGUUCUAAAGCCACGGUCCCUGUGUGAGUCUCCUGGAGCUCAUAGUCCCUCAAAUGGCAGGCAGUUGAAGAGAUGAAGGCCCAGAGGCAUGAACUCCCACAGCCAGAGGAUAUGAGCGGAUUCUACCUGGUGAGCCUGGGUGAAGAGCCCAUGCCCCCAGCCAUAUCCAUGGCCGAGGCUCAGCCCAGACAGGGCACAAAGGGGCUGAGGAAGAGGAAGUAAGAUGCCAGGGUUGCCAUGCAGGAGGGCAGCCCUGAGUGAGAUGGGCAUCGUGGCCUAGGGCCCACCUUCUCGAAGAGCUCAUCAGAACCUUGGACACACCACGUGGCCUAGACUCAGGGCUCCUUGAGCCCGUCCCUCGGAUUGGCUUCGAAUUGUAGGUGAACCCUCUCUAGCUGCCACAUUCACCCUUUGCAUGCCCACACUUUGUCAUCUCCUGAAAAGGUGCAAGAACAUGAUGCCCGGCUGACUCCCAGGGAGCAGGAGCCCCAGAGGUCAGCGGUGUGCAGCCACAGCAGGCAGAGGAGUCUGGAGACCAUGAAUGCCGUGUGUGUCUGCUAAUUUAAAGCCUGGGCCCAGAGGAAAAUGUCUUUGCAUCUUGAAAGAUCUGGACUCCUUCUGCCUUCUGAGCAUCUGUGAGCUGGAGAUACUAAUAGGGCCUUCCCCAUAGAGAUGUUCUGAAGAUCAAAUGAGAGACCUCAUGGAAAGCUGUUAGCACAGAGCUGACUCCCUCUGAAGGAAGACCAGUGAGGCCUGCAAGAUGGCCUCUUGAGGCCAAGCCACUGAGCUGCAGGACAAAGAUGAUCUUUCUGGGCUCCUGAUAUCCAGACCCCGUCUCAUCUUUCAGCAUGUUCAGAGUAUCUGUGGCUGCUGUGGGCAGAGAGGAGGUACCAGGGAAGUCCUGGCAGACUUAUCUACCAGCAGAGAGACUGAGCCUCCAUGCCACCCCAACUCCCGCUGCCCUUUUGACUGAGCUCUGAACACAAGUUAGAGGAGCUGGGGGAAGCUCCAAGCAGUCAGUACAUGAGCCGGUGAGCAUGCGACGUGUCCCGUCUCGUGCUCAGCACUGCAGGGGACAUCCCCACAAAUAUCACAGCUCAAAUUCUCCGGUUGCAAAGGCAAGACUCACAGACAGAGAACAGUAGAAAAGUCUUCAAGAGGCCCCUGGCGUAGUCUGAGGAGCCCUGGACAGAGGUAAGACCAGAGUUCUAUCCCCAGGCCUUGGGCCUGAAGCAGGUACCUGUACCUCCAAAAGCUCCAGCCACACCAAGUUCUAGACAACUUCUCAUUGCCUGGAUUGUGGGUGGCGCAUCUGAUCGGUGGGGACUGACGCCUGGAGCACUGUGCUGAGGAGGACUCUGAGGCAGCAGCAAGCCUGGCAGGACUGUGGUGGCCAACCAGUGAGGCGAACGGUAGGUGCCACCGGGAUGUCACAGGGAUGUACCUUCCGCUUGUUAACCCUUCUGGUUAAGAGCAACUCACUGGGGCCAUUUCUAAGGACCCCUCCAGCUCCCAAAUGGGAGAAUUCUGUGAUGGAAAUGUUACAUUUCAAGGCACUGGCUGGAGCACAAUGAGGCAAAGCAGGAAGAGAUCUGUGUGGGCUGGGAUGAUCAGGGAAGGCUUUGGGAAGGAGGCGGCACUUUAGUGCGGCCUCAAGGUGGGGGAGUGUGAGUAGCUGUACCGGAGGUGGGAGGACGUUUAUGUGCAUAAAACUGGGGCUGAGCAUGGGCUGUUCUUGGUACAGGAGGGAGGCGGCUAGCAUCGCUGGAAUGCGCUGUCUGUGUUUAGGGCAAGUAUGAUUACAUACGUGAGAGCACACAGUCUGAGAGCUUCCCACAUGGAAAGCCACAGAGCAAAGAUGACGUUCCAUGCAUGCUGGCUUCCAGUCCUCACAGCUCCUCUCCAAGGUAAACGCUCUUCCCAGCCUUCCCUAGCGUUCUGUGACUUGCUCAGGGCCACCGCUGGCAGGUGCGAAUCCUGCGUUCAGCCUGGGCAGUGCGGUUCUGAUGGCUUCGGGCAUAACUUCUCUGCCCUGGUGCCUUCUCUACUCUUAGAAGCUGACCAGUAAGGAAACCCAGCAAUGCAGUUGAGACACCAUGGCCGGAUUUGUGGAUUCUAGGGACGAGGAAGAGGCAGGAACAGCUGUAGACUGAGGAAGGAGGGCCUUGCUUGAGUCAUCAAUCACACAAACAGAUCCAAGCCAAGAAGAGGGCAAGGUGGACGUAGAUCAAAGAUAGGCGCUAAGUGCCAUGGGCUAGGGCUUGUUUUAGACUUUCCUCAAGUCCUACAUAAUCUACUGGAAACAACAAAAAUUGUCCCAACACUAUGGGAAUAGGCAAGAAGCUGUGGGAGGGCAUGACAUUCCAGGGACGUGGGGCUCAGCCUGUGAGGAUGGGAAUAGAGCCUGCCAUGGUCUUAACACAAGCCCAGAGGCAGAAGGCAACUGCCUAAAUAAAGAUCUCAUUUCAGACAAAGCUUAACCCUGCCUUUGCCCAGGGCUGCAGCCUCCAGCCGUCUCCACACUGUCCCUGCCUGGCACCUGGUGGUGCGCUGGGGAACUUUGCUGUUUCUCCCUCGUUUCCCAGCCCUCUCUCCUUCCUUCCUUCCUUACUGGGUUCAUGGACAGCUCCAGCCUCCACUCAGCUUGGCCUCUCAAUUCCAUGGCACCCAGAAGGUCCAGUUGUGCACCGCCCUGCCCCCAGGCCCCAAGCAGGGGAAGAGGCUCUGUCUCAUCUUGCUUUCUUCACCUCUCCCACCACCUUUGUCCCCACCCAUCCGGAGAUGCAUCUGAAACCAGCCCCGGUAUGAAACUCUCCAGCCUCUCUCCCAAACAUCCUCGCGUCCCUGCCCCCCUUGCUCUGGUCCCACUCCAUCUCAAGCGCCCUCUGUGGUCCUCCCUUCUGGUUUCUCCCUCUGGCCUCCAGGAGGCCUCUGGUGUCCGCACAACUUCCUGACAUGGAGGAAGGACCAGAGCUGUAACGUGGGGCUGGAAGGUCCCAGAACCACCAGUUAGUCCUGCCCUGCCAACCUCUCCUUGUGAAGCUCUCUCUCCUGCUGUUCAGUCUAUGCUCGAUGACUAGAGGCCUGAUUCUGAAACUCUCUUUUGGGGCCACUGGGUCAGGCAGCCCUCCUCACUGUCAGGAAAUAGAUCCUCAUUUCUUACCUUAAUUUCUCAACUGCAUCUGUUCUUUCUUGUUCUGGGAAGUCGUCCGGUGUGAUGCUGCAGCCAUGCUACUCCUUAGCGCUCUGCUUCCCAACCAAAACAAUGCUCCUUCUCAGCUUUUCCGAAGCUUCCGGCCCCAGCAGUUCUUGGACCUGGGGUACUUUCCUCCCUGCAAGCAACAAAGGAGGACGAGCCCCAGCUUCUCGAAGAUACCUUCGGCUGCCUGGAAGAGGCCUGUGGAAGGCCCCACAACUCUCCGCAGACCUCGGGGCGUUGCUGUUUCUUCUCAGUGGCCCUGGUCUCCUCAGCCAGCUCCAGCUGACUUGGCGUAAUGACUAAGAAAACUUUCCAAACUUUCCGAAGACAGUUGGUGAUCCUCUACCCUCCCGGUGACUGGCCCCAUUCAAGAUGGAGUUGCUGUGGUUCAGAUGCCUCUGACACACCGAUGCGCACAGAUCCAUCUUCAUCUCAGCAACGUCUCUCACACACAGAACCACUGCAAUCCUGUGUGUCUCCUCCAGAGAGGGUUCCUCAGACAGCCAUGUGUAUUUCUCCACUCGGAGAGGGUCGGAGCUCUCCAGGGAACAAUGAAAACCUAAGGAAGAGCAGACCACUUCACAGCCACGUGUGCCCCACCCCACUCUGCUGCAUCCCUAGUUAGACUUCCAUUCCAAGAACUGCCUCAGCUGUUGGCAAUGACAUGCCGACUCCAUCUGCAGAGGAAAAUCAAUGUUUUACAAUGAAGCACCUGCCAUCCACUCUCCUAGGAACCUCUGCCCCUUAUGGAAUAUUCAUGCAGCCUUUCUUUGUAAUCUCGGUCUGAGUUUCAAAAGAUUCCCUAGCAGAGAAGACCAUUUAACAGACAGACCAUUUUACAGUGCAAACACUGAAAAUUCUGCAGGAGAAAAGAGGCACUGGUUUUUUAAAACUGUACUCUGUCCACAGUCAGACACCAUCUCACAUUUCCAAAUAACCCAAACAGUUCCUUCAGUUAGGUAAAUAUGCCUGGCCAAGUGACCAGGCGCUAAAGGGAAUAAUAGGGAAAAGAGAGGGCAGAAAAAAAUGUCAGUGGGCCUAAGACGAAUCUUCUUCUUUUUAAUUUCUCGAUUUUGUGUUUGAUAAAGGGAAAGGGGCCACCAUUAUAAAACAACUUUUACACACUUUUACUUGUGAUUUAGUGCAUGGUGACCUGGAACGUAAAGAAGGUUUAUGAAUGGAAAGACAAAUAGGAUCAUAGUAGGUAACUGAGUUAUUUUUAAAUUUUUAUUCUGUCUCUAUAAGAUUUUUGAGAAGGUAAUCAAUUCACAUAAAGAUCCGAGCAGUUAUAAAGAUUUACAAAGAUUAUACAGUGAUGGAAACUGAAGUAUAUUCUUGGCAACAGUCUCAAUGUAUUUCACGUUUCCUGGCAUUUACAUAUAUAAAUUUUGUAUACAUAAUAUAUAAAUAUUCUUCUAUUUUGCAUAAAAACUAAAAAUACUAAAAAAGUAACAUGAGUAUACAAAAAAGUUAAACAUUGAAAAUAUUAGUUGGAAACUGGCUUAUUUUGCUAACAAUUAUAUUGAGAAUUGUUGCUAGAUUGUUGUUUCUGGGAACAUUGGAGGUGUACUUUCUAUACUUGCUAAAAUACAAGCUUUUCAAGUAUUUUCCAUAGUAUUAAGUGAGACUUUAAAUACUCCUGUUUUUUAAGAUCUAAUUUCUGCUUCAAUUUAUCCUUCUCUUCAUUUUUCCUGUUUGUCCUCAUCUUACCUGUUCUUCCCUGGUUUUGCCAUCUCCCAGUAUUCAGGAAUCAGAGCAAAUAAUUAGUCUGCUUUUCUGCGGAAUAAACUAUUGGGUAUACCAUCAUGCUUUUGAUCUACCACAGAAACAAAUUAUUUUAGCAAGACAUCAUUUUUAUGUAUUGUAUAAUGUAUGUAUUGCUUAUGUUUUAAGCAGAUUUCAGCUCUUUUCCUUCCAUCACAUUUGGAAUUGGGGGCCCAAAAGAUGUGAAGGCAAUAAAGCUUCCAAGAUAACUGGGCUGCAUCCUUAUUUGUAAAAUAAGAAAUACUUUGUUUCCCAAAUUUUAAAGGAGUGUUCCUUCUCCGACCUGUUGCGAUGGAUUUAUUCUAUAGCUAUACAAAUAUACCCUGCUUCA